GACGAACGCUGGCGGCGUGCUUAACACAUGCAAGUCGAACGGAAAGGCCCUGCUUUUGUGGGGUGCUCGAGUGGCGAACGGGUGAGUAACACGUGAGUAACCUGCCCUUGACUUUGGGAUAACUUCAGGAAACUGGGGCUAAUACCGGAUAGGUGCUCCUGCUGCAUGGUGGGGGUUGGAAAGUUUCGGCGGUUGGGGAUGGACUCGCGGCUUAUCAGCUUGUUGGUGGGGUAGUGGCUUACCAAGGCUUUGACGGGUAGCCGGCCUGAGAGGGUGACCGGCCACAUUGGGACUGAGAUACGGCCCAGACUCCUACGGGAGGCAGCAGUGGGGAAUAUUGCACAAUGGGCGGAAGCCUGAUGCAGCGACGCCGCGUGCGGGAUGACGGCCUUCGGGUUGUAAACCGCUUUCGCCUGUGACGAAGCGUGAGUGACGGUAAUGGGUAAAGAAGCACCGGCUAACUACGUG
rnacentral:rRNA from 1 species